AGAGUUUGAUCCUGGCUCAGAUUGAACGCUGGCGGCAGGCUUAACACAUGCAAGUCGAGCGGGGAAAGGUAGCUUGCUACUUAACCUAGCGGCGGACGGGUGAGUAAUGCUUAGGAAUCUGCCUAUUAGUGGGGGACAACAUCUCGAAAGGGAUGCUAAUACCGCAUACGUCCUACGGGAGAAAGCAGGGGACCUUCGGGCCUUGCGCUAAUGGAUGAGCCUAAGUCGGAUUAGCUAGUUGGUGGGGUAAAGGCCUACC
rnacentral:rRNA from 1 species